UUUUGAAAAAUAUCGAACGGCAAAGAAGGGUGCUUUGACCGUCCCAUCAUCCCCAUAAAACCCAAAGCCAUUUUAAGUUUGAAGCAGAUGAUGGAACUGGAAAACAGGGGUGGGAAAGGCAUAGUAGGGUUUAGGAAGUUUUUGGAAUGAGCGUGUUGGAAAAGAAAAAGACUCAACAACCCAUGUUUCUUUGCCAACCCCGCCCAUUCCAAAUAUUUUCUAAGCCUACUGUCUUUCCCUUUCUCUCUUGUUUUUUCACUAGACAACAGAUUCAACAAACCAAGCAACUUUCUUCUUGUUUGCUUGCGAUAUCAUACAGAGAGAGAGAGAGAGAGAGAGAGAGAGAGAAAUGAAAAGAGAAGAAGGGAAGAAGGGGGAAAGGAAGUUGCAGUAGGGAGUUAGGGGAAUGGGAGGAUUGGGAAAAACAUGCACCCCAAGUGUUCGUGAAUAUUACACAAGGAACACAAAAAAGGACUUCUUCCCAAACCUCCCAUUCCUAUUAUUUCCUACAGUUGCUCUCUUUCCCUACCUUUUCCCAUUUUGAUUCGUCAUUGUACUCUGUGAGAUUGACUUAUUACAACUGAAAUACUGAUUUGUCUUCUUUUCUGUGUUUUAAAACUAUGUUCUGAUGUUCAUGUUCCGAUCUUUAGGUGGCUUGGGUGAUUCAUUAGUGUUGUUCUCCAUUUUCUUUGCCCUUUUGCUCGUUUUAUGGGCUGAUCCUUCAAAUAAAUACCGAAGCGUCGAUGGAUACCCAGGCCGAUGUUUUAUGAAUUAUACAAGUCACAAGUCAAGUGAGCUUAGCUCUGCCGAUGGUGAUAGAGAGCGAGGCAAUAGCGCAGAAAAUAAUGGGGUUUAAGGCUUUUAAUGCAUAGGUUCAAACGUAAAUCUGAGAUAUAUUGUUAACAACAACCAGUGAGAAAUGUCUUUGCAGCUCACAAUCAGAAGAAUCAUCUCUGAAUACUUUACUAGGGUUUUUUUUUGCACUUCCAUCAGUUUUCGUUAGUAUUGCAAAGUUUGCGAUUUCUUAUCCUACUCUUAAGCGGCGAUUUCUUAUCCAAAGGCUGAUCUCGGCUCUGCAUCACCCUUCACCAUAUUAAUGAACCGACCAAAUACCCAUUGGUGUGGUGGUGGUCAAUAUGGAGAGAGAUCAAAACUAUUUUUCUUUCUCUGGUUAAGGGAUUACGCAGUCCAAAGAUGGCCUAAUAGAAAAUUUUCAUUGGUUUAA